rnacentral:rRNA from 1 species
ACGAACGCUGGCGGCGGGCUUAACACAUGCAAGUCGAACGGAAAGGCCCUGCUUUUGUGGGGUGCUCGAGUGGCGAACGGGGGAGUAACACGUGAGUAACCUGCCCUUGACUUUGGGAUAACUUCAGGAAACUGGGGCUAAUACCGGAUAGGAGCUCCUGCUGCAUGGUGGGGGUUGGAAAGUUUCGGCGGUUGGGGAUGGACUCGAGGCUUAUCAGCUUGUUGGUGGGGGAGGGGCUUACCAAGGCUUUGACGGGUAGCCGGCCUGAGAGGGUGACCGGCCACAUUGGGACUGCGAUACGGCCCAGACUCCUACGGGAGGCAGCAGUGGGGAAUAUUGCACAAUGGGCGGAAGCCUGAUGCAGCAACGCCGCGUGCGGGAUGACGGCCUUCGGGUUGUAAACCGCUUUCGCCUGUGACGAAGCGUGAGUGACGGUAAUGGGUAAAGAAGCACCGGCUAACUACGUG